rnacentral:rRNA from 1 species
AAAACAGGUAACUGGGGCUAAGUCGUAACAAGGUAGCCGUACCGGAAGGUGUGGCUGGAACACCUCCUUUUUGGAGCGUAU